CUUCGGGGAACGAUAACGGCGUCGAGCGGCGGACGGGUGAGUAAUGCCUAGGAAAUUGCCCUGAUGUGGGGGAUAACCAUUGGAAACGAUGGCUAAUACCGCAUAAUGCCUACGGGCCAAAGAGGGGGACCUUCGGGCCUCUCGCGUCAGGAUAUGCCUAGGUGGGAUUAGCUAGUUGGUGAGGUAAUGGCUCACCAAGGCGACGAUCCCUAGCUGGUCUGAGAGGAUGAUCAGCCACACUGGAACUGAGACACGGUCCAGACUCCUACGGGAGGCAGCAGUGGGGAAUAUUGCACAAUGGGCGCAAGCCUGAUGCAGCCAUGCCGCGUGUGUGAAGAAGGCCUUCGGGUUGUAAAGCACUUUCAGUCGUGAGGAAGGUGGUGUAGUUAAUAGCUGCAUUACUUGACGUUAGCGACAGAAGAAGCACCGGCUAACUCCGUGCCAGCAGCCGCGGUAAUACGGAGGGUGCGAGCGUUAAUCG
rnacentral:rRNA from 1 species